rnacentral:rRNA from 1 species
UACGUAGGGGGCAAGCGUUGUCCGGAUUUAUUGGGCGUAAAGAGCGUGUAGGCGGCCUGACAGGUCUGCUGUGAAAACUCGAGGCUCAACCUCGAGAUGUCGGCGGAAACCGUCUGGCUAGAGUCCGGAAGAGGAGAGUGGAAUUCCUGGUGUAGCGGUGAAAUGCGCAGAUAUCAAGAGGAACACCAGUGGCGAAGGCGAGUCCCUGGACGAUACCUGACACUGAGGCACGAAAGCUAGGGGAGCAAACGGG